GACAGAGGUCUCAAGCGUUAGGCGGAAUCACUGGGCUUAAAGCGUGUGUAGGCGGAUCGUUAAGUGCCUUGUGAAAUCCCACGGCUCAACCGUGGAACUGCUUGGCAUACUGGCGGUCUUGAGCCAUCUAGGGGUCGCUGGAACAAACGGUGGAGCGGUGAAAUGCGUAGAUAUCGUUUGGAACGCCAAUGGUGAAAACAGGCGACUGGGGAUGUGCUGACGCUGAGACACGAAAGCCAGGGGAGCAAACGGG
rnacentral:rRNA from 1 species